CCUACGGGUGGCAGCAGUGGGGAAUAUUGCACAAUGGGGGAAACCCUGAUGCAGCAAUGCCGCGUGAGUGAAGAAGUCUUUCGGUAUGUAAAGCUCUAUCAGCAGGGAAGAAGAAAGACGGUACCUGACUCAGAAGCCCCGGCUAACUACGUGCCAGCAGCCGCGGUAAUACGGAGGGUGCAAGCGUUAUCCGGAUUUACUGGGUGUAAAGGGAGCGUAGACGGCUGUGCAAGUCUUAAGUGAAAUCCCGUGGCUCAACCGCGGAACUGCUUUGGAAACUGGAUAGCUAGAGUACUGUAGAGGCAGGCGGAAUUCCUGGUGUAGCGGUGAAAUGCGUAGAGAUUAGGAGGAACACCAGUGGCGAAGGCGGCCUGCUGGACAGAAACUGACGUUGAGGCUCGAAAGCGUGGGGAGCAAACAGGAUUAGAUACCCGAGUAGUC
rnacentral:rRNA from 1 species